rnacentral:rRNA from 1 species
UACGUAGGGUGCGAGCGUUGUCCGGAAUUAUUGGGCGUAAAGAGCUCGUAGGCGGUGUGUCGCGUCGGCCGUGAAAACCUGCAGCUUAACUGUGGCUUGCGGUCGAUACGGGCAUCACUGGAGUUCGGCAGGGAGACUGGAAUUCCUGGUGUAGCGGUGAAAUGCGCAGAUAUCAGGAGGAACACCGGUGGCGAAGGCGGGUCUCUGGGCCGAUACUGACGCUGAGGAGCGAAA